rnacentral:rRNA from 1 species
GAUGAACGCUGGCGGCGUGCCUAAUACAUGCAAGUCGAGCGAACAGACGAGGAGCUUGCUCCUCUGACGUUAGCGGCGGACGGGUGAGUAACACGUGGAUAACCUACCUAUAAGACUGGGAUAACUUCGGGAAACCGGAGCUAAUACCGGAUAAUAUAUUGAACCGCAUGGUUCAAUAGUGAAAGACGGUUUUGCUGUCACUUAUAGAUGGAUCCGCGCCGCAUUAGCUAGUUGGUAAGGUAACGGCUUACCAAGGCAACGAUGCGUAGCCGACCUGAGAGGGUGAUCGGCCACACUGGAACUGAGACACGGUCCAGUCUCCUACGGGAGGCAGCAGUAGGGAAUCUUCCGCAAUGGGCGAAAGCCUGACGGAGCAACGCCGCGUGAGUGAUGAAGGUCUUCGGAUCGUAAAACUCUGUUAUUAGGGAAGAACAAAUGUGUAAGUAACUAUGCACGUCUUGACGGUACCUAAUCAGAAAGCCACGGCUAACUACGUG